rnacentral:rRNA from 1 species
CCCUUAGAUGUCCGGGGCCGCACGCGCGCUACACUGAAGGAAUCAGCGUGGCUUUCUCCCUGACCCGAAAGGGUUUGGAAACCCGUUGAAUCUCCUUCGUGAUAGGGAUUGGGGCUUGAAAUUGUUCCCCAUGAACGAGGAAUUCCCAGUAAGCGCGAGUCAUAAGCUCGCGUUGAUUACGUCCCUGCCCUUUGUACACACCGCCCGUCGCUACUACCGAUUGAACGGUUUAGUGAGGGCCUCGGAUUGGUCUCGGCCCGCUCUUUACCGGGCGGCGCCGUUGGUCGAGAAGACGCUCGAACUUGAUCGUUUAGAGGAAGUAAAAGUCGUAACA